UACGGAGGGGGCUAGCGUUAUUCGGAAUUAUUGGGCGUAAAGGGCGCGUAGGCGGCCCGGUAAGUCAAAGGUGAAAUCCCUCGGCUCAACUGAGGAACUGCCUUUGAAACUGUCGGGCUUGAGGCCGGGAGGGGGUAGCGGAAUUCCCAGUGUAGCGGUGAAAUGCGUAGAUAUCUGGAGGAACACCGGUGGCGAAGGCGGCAUCCUGGACCGACACUGACGCUGAUGAGCGAAAGCCAGGGGAGCAAACGGG
rnacentral:rRNA from 1 species